CGCCUUGCCAGCCCGCUCAGAAACUCAAAGGAAGUUGACGGGGGCCCGGCACAAGCGGUGGAGUAUGUGGUUUAAUUCGAUGCAACGCGAAGAACCUUACCUGGUCUUGACAUCCCGGAGACCCUUAGGAAACUAGGGGGUGCUUCCAUCUGGAAGAAUCUGGAGACAGGUGCUGCAUGGCUGUCGUCAGCUCGUGUCGUGAGAUGUUGGGUUAAGUCCCGCAACGAGCGCAACCCUUGCCUUUAGUUGCCAGCAGUUCGGCUGGGCACUCUAAAGGGACUGCCGGUGUUAAACCGGAGGAAGGUGGGGAUGACGUCAAGUCCUCAUGGCCUUUAUGACCAGGGCUACACACGUACUACAAUGGCCGAUACAAAGGGCAGCGACACUGCGAGGUGAAGCCAAUCCCGUAAAAUCGGUCUCAGUCCGGAUUGGAGUCUGCAACUCGACUCCAUGAAGUUGGAAUCGCUAGUAAUCGUGGAUCAGCAUGCCACGGUGAAUACGUUCCCGGGCCUU
rnacentral:rRNA from 1 species